rnacentral:rRNA from 1 species
GACGAACGCUGGCGGCGUGCCUAAUACAUGCAAGUUGAGCGCUGAAGGUUGGUCCUUGUACCAACUGUGUGUGCAGCGCACGGGUGUGUAACGCGUGUGAAAUCUGCCUUUGAGCGGGGGACCACAUUUGGACACUAGUUCUUAUACCACAUCAACACUUUAUACACAAUUUUUAAUUUUGAAAGGUGCCUUUUCCUCUCUCAAAUGUGCUCCCGCUUUGUAUUAGCUAGUUGGUGAGGUAAAGGCUCACCAAGGCGAUGAUACAUAGCCGACCUGAGAGGGUGAUCGGCCACACUGGGACUGAGACACGGCCCAAACUCCUACGGGAGGCAGCAGUAGGGAAUCUUCGGCAAUGGACGAAAGUCUGACCGAGCAACGCCGCGUGAGUGAAGAAGGGUUUCGGAUCGUAAAACUCUGUUGGUAGAGAAGAACGUGGGUGAGAGUGGAAAGCUCAUAAAGUGACGGUAACUAACCAGAAAGGGACGGCUAACUACGUG